rnacentral:rRNA from 1 species
GUCUACAGGCAUGCCUCCCUGAACAAGCCUGAUGUCUUAUCUCGGAAGCUAAGCAGGGUUGGGCCUGGUUAGUACUUGGAUAGGAGAGCACCUAGGAAGACCAAGUGCUGUAGGCA